rnacentral:rRNA from 1 species
UACGAGGGGGGCAAGCGUUGUUCGGAAUUACUGGGCGUAAAGGGCUCGUAGGCGGCCAACUAAGUCAGACGUGAAAUCCCUCGGCUUAACCGGGGAACUGCAUCUGAUACUGGAUGGCUUGAGUUCGGGAGAGGGAUGCGGAAUUCCAGGUGUAGCGGUGAAAUGCGUAGAUAUCUGGAGGAACACCGGUGGCGAAGGCGGCAUCCUGGACCGGCACUGACGCUGAGGAGCGAAAGCCAGGGGAGCAAACGGG